UAUUCCCUCUGGCGGCGUGCUUAACACAUGCAAGUCGAACGGACAGGCCCUGCGCUUGCGGCGUUCUCGUUUGGCGAACGGGUGAGUAACACGUGAGGAACCUGCACUUGUCUUUGGGAUAACUUCACGGAACUGCGGCUAAUACCGGGUAUGAGCUCCUGCUGCACGGGGGUCAAUGGAAAAUUGCGGCGGUUGGGGAUGGUCUGGCGGCUUAUCAGCUGCUUGGUGGGGUAGUUGCUUACCAGGGGUAUGACGGGUAGCCGGCCUGGGCGCGUGAACGGCCACAUGGGGACUGAGAUAGGGCCCAGACUGCUACGGGCGGCAGCAGUGGGGAAUAUUGCACAAUGGGGGGACGUGUGAUGUAGCAACGCCGCGUGCGGGAUGACCGCCUACGGGUGGUGAACCGCUUUCUACUGUGACGAGGCGUGAGUGACGGUAAUGGGUAAGGAAGCCACGGCUAACUACGUG
rnacentral:rRNA from 1 species